rnacentral:rRNA from 1 species
CCUACGGGAGGCAGCAGUGGGGAAUAUUGGACAAUGGGCGAAAGCCUGAUCCAGCCAUGCCGCGUGUGUGAAGAAGGUCUUCGGAUUGUAAAGCACUUUAAGCUGGGAGGAAGGGCAGUAAGUUAAUACCUUGCUGUUUUGACGUUACCAGCAGAAUAAGCACCG